rnacentral:rRNA from 1 species
GACGAACGCUGGCGGCGUGCUUAACACAUGCAAGUCGAACGGAAAGGCCCUGCUUUUGUGGGGUGCUCGAGUGGCGAACGGGUGAGAAACACGUGAGUAACCUGCCCUUGACUUUGGGAUAUCUUCAGGAAACUGGGGCUAAUACCGGAUAGGAGCUCCUGCUGCAUGGUGGGGGUUGGAAAGUUUCGGCGGUUGGGGAUGGACUCGCGGCUUAUCAGCUUGUUGGUGGGGUAGUGGCUUACCAAGGCUUUGACGGGUAGCCGGCCUGAGAGGGUGACCGGCCACAUUGGGACUGAGAUACGGCCCAGACUCCUACGGGAGGCAGCAGUGGGGAAUAUUGCACAAUGGGCGGAAGCCUGAUGCAGCAACGCCGCGUGCGGGAUGACGGCCUUCGGGUUGUAAACCGCUUUCGCCUGUGACGAAGCGUGAGUGACGGUAAUGGGUAAAGAAGCACCGGCUAACUACGUG